GUGGGGAAUAUUGGACAAUGGGCGAAAGCCUGAUCCAGCCAUGCCGCGUGUGUGAAGAAGGUCUUCGGAUUGUAAAGCACUUUAAGUUGGGAGGAAGGGCAGUAAGUUAAUACCUUGCUGUUUUGACGUUACCGACAGAAUAAGCACCGGCUAACUUCGUGCCAGCAGCCGCGGUAAUACGAAGGGUGCAAGCGUUAAUCGGAAUUACUGGGCGUAAAGCGCGCGUAGGUGGUUUUGUAAGUUGGAGGUGAAAUCACCGGGCUCAACCUGGGAACUGCCUCCAAAACUGCAUGACUAGAGUACGGUAGAGGGUAGUGGAAUUUCCUGUGUAGCGGUGAAAUGCGUAGAUAUAGGAAGGAACACCAGUGGCGAAGGCGACUACCUGGACUGAUACUGACACUGAGGUGCGAAAGCGUGGGGAGCAAACAGGAUUAGAUACCCCGGUAGUCC
rnacentral:rRNA from 1 species